rnacentral:rRNA from 1 species
AGUGAGCGGCAGAGCUCAAAUUUGAAUCUGGCCCCUCCGGGGCUCCGAGUUGUAAUUUGAAGAGGAUGCUUCGGGUGCGGCCCCCGUCUAAGUGCUCUGGAACGGGCCAUCUGAAAGGGUGAGAAUCCCGUCUGGGAUGGGGAGUCCCCUCCCCGUUGGACCUUCCUUCAC